rnacentral:rRNA from 1 species
GGGCUCUGAAUGCGCAGGAUAGGUGGGAGACGUUGAUCUAGUGCUCGUGGGUACUAGGGAGUCUAUGGUGAGAUACCACUCUUUCAGAGCUAGGGUUCUAACGUUCACCCGUUAUCCGGGGAGCGGACAGUAUCAGGUGGGCAGUUUGACUGGGGCGGUCGCCUCCUAAAAGGUAACGGAGGCGCGCAAAGGUUUCCUCAGGCUGGUUGGAAAUCAGCCGACGAGUGCAAAAGCAGAAGGAAGCUUGACUGUGAGACCUACAAGUCGAACAGGGACGAAAGUCGGCUUUAGUGAUCCGACGGUUCUGAGUGGAAGGGCCGUCGCUCAACGGAUAAAAGUUACUCUAGGGAUAACA